AAAACUGAAGAGUGACUCAAAGCCUCUCUCCCUCUCCUCUUCUCCGGCCAAUAUGGCCACCAUCUGUCCGUCGGCUACCCGCCGGCCACCGGCGACGGCACCGCCGUGCAUGGUGGCCGGGAAACCCAAAAGUGCCCCUUUUUAGCCCGUUUUAAGCCUAGAUUUUAGAUCUAGAAGACAAAUGCCUGAAAAGUAAAAAAAAAAGAAGAAGAAAAGAUUCGACCUUUGCCCCCUUUUUUACCGAUCUCGACGCCGGGAAAAAGACCACCGACGGAGGGGCCACGGGCCGAUUCUGAUUCAUUUGUUUGUCUGCACCUCAACAAUAUGACAGGAGCCACCAACAUCCACACUGCAACAAAUAUCAAGUCCUUAAGGAUCGUCCGAAACUCAUCGAUAAUAGUCGAGUUAUGUACUUACAGUAAACACUGACGGCUAGCCAUUCGUUCACUAUCCUCACCCAAGUACUUGUCCAACCGACAUCGAUCGUCCAUCUGUGAAAUCAAACCAUGUCACAACCAGUCCUAUAAUCAAAUAAGUGAUUCUUCAAAUGUAAUACAUACUUUUUAAUAAUAUGAUGAGUAUUCCAUCCGAUCAA